UACGUAGGGGGGCUAGCGUUGUCCGGAUUUAUUGGGCGUAAAGAGCGUGUAGGCGGCCAGGUAGGUCUGCUGUGAAAACUCGAGGCUCAACCUCGAGACGUCGGCGGAAACCAUCUGGCUAGAGUCCGGAAGAGGAGAGUGGAAUUCCUGGUGUAGCGGUGAAAUGCGCAGAUAUCAGGAGGAACACCUGCGGCGAAGGCGGGUUGCUGGGCUGAUACUGACGCUGAGGCGCGAAAGCCAGGGGAGCGAACGGG
rnacentral:rRNA from 1 species